GCCGUGAUCGUAUUGUUGUUAGUACACUGCGUUGUGGCUGCAAUAACCCAGGUUCGAAUCCUGGUCACGGCA
rfam:Nematostella vectensis strain CH2 x CH6 NEMVEscaffold_797_Cont33002, whole genome shotgun sequence.